rnacentral:rRNA from 1 species
GACGAACGCUGGCGGCGUGCUUAACACAUGCAAGUCGAGCGAUGAAGCUCCUUCGGGAGUGGAUUAGCGGCGGACGGGUGAGUAACACGUGGGCAACCUGCCUUGUAGAGAGGAAUAGCCAUCCGAAAGGAUGAUUAAUACCUCAUAAUAUUGUAGCUUCGCAUGGAGCAACAAUCAAAGGAGCAAUCCACUAUAAGAUGGGCCCGCGGCGCAUUAGCUAGUUGGUGAGGGAACGGCUCACCAAGGCGACGAUGCGUAGCCGACCUGAGAGGGUGAUCGGCCACAUUGGGACUGAGACACGGCCCAGACUCCUACGGGAGGCAGCAGCGGGGAAUAUUGCACAAUGGGGGAAACCCUGAUGCAGCAACGCCGCGUGAGUGAUGACGGCCUUCGGGUUGUAAAGCUCUGUCUUCAGGGACGAUAAUGACGGUACCUGAGGAGGAAGCCACGGCUAACUACGUGCCAGCAGCCGCCGUAA